GAACUUGCGGAAAAAAAUCUGGGAACUAUAUUUACACACAAGGACUUACUAGAAUUAGUCUAAAGGUUCGCUGUUGAGCUGCAAACACCAUCUUUCCCAUUGAUUGCCACUUACCCACCAUUUUUUGUUUGUGCAUCUGAUUUUAAACCAAGGGUCGUUGACUUGAUUAAACUAGGUAUGAACUCCAACGAGUUACUGAAACUCCCGUUUCCGCCUGGAAGUGUGCCUACGAUUGAAAAGAUUAUCAACUGAUGUUUAUUAUCCAUUCUAAGCAAGUUGGAUGAAAAGCUGCCAGAUGAGUACAAGAAGGUUUUGUAAAAUCCUGUCUUCGGUCCGAUUCUUAGGAUUAAUAAAAACUGAACUCAGCA